ACAGGGCCGACGCGGGUCAAAGUGUUGUAUCUGUUGUUAUCAGUUUAAUAUCUGAUACGGCUCGCAUUUAGAGUUUGGACCCAAGAUAUGAAACUUAUUUUUACAAGUUGGCGGAGUGGUUGAAGCCUGCUUCACCUCCGCCGCGGGUCGGCCCGUUAUUGCACUGUCUUCGGGAAUUUUGGCCUACGGACA